UGUCCAGUACCACCUUAGAGACCAACUAAGUUUGUUCUGGGUAUAUGUUUUCGUAUCUGAAGAAGUGUGCAUGCACACGAAAGCUUAUACCCAGAACAAACUUAGUUGGUCUCUAAGGUGCUACUGGACA